AUCCCCUCUGUAAUGGCGAAUGAACAGGGGCCAGCUCACGGUGGAAAUUGGGGCCUGCUAGGCCCUUGAGUUGUAGUCUGUAGCUGCGUUGCCAAUGGAGGCGCACUUGUGAGCCCCUUGGAAGAGAGCACCGACGAGGGUGAGAGUCCCAUCUGUCAUUUGCAGACCUCUGUGCACGGCACGCCUUCGAGGAGUCGCGUUCUUCGGACGUGGAACGUGAAUUGGGUGGUAGAUUUCAUCUCAAGCUAAAUACUGAUUCAAGACCGAUAGAAGACAAGUACCGUGAGGGAAAGGUGAAAAGGACUUUGAAAAGAGAGUUAAAAGUGCCUGAAAUUGCUGGAAAGGAAACAAAUGUAACCAUAGCUGCUUGGCAAGAUUGUCGUGCGCCAAGGCAUCCCCAAGCGCGCGCGGUGCUUCUUACCUUGUGCGUCCACAUUACUUCAUGGCCAGGGAAACCUCAAGGCACGUGGUGGGCCUUCCUCCAAGGAGUGCGAAUGUGCUUGUGAAUCCCUGGCUGUGAGGGGCUAGCUUGCAUGUCUGGUCGCAACUUACCUGGGCCCUGACGCCCAAGCAGCUGACGGAAUGGUUCCUUCUGACCCGUCUUGAAACACGGACCAAGGAGUCUAACGUACGUGCGAGUUCGCGGGUGACGAAAGCCUGCUUGCGAAGUGAAAGCGAUGGCUGGGACAUUCGUGCCAGUGGCCAACCAAUCAAUUGCGAGAGGCUUGAGCACAAGCACAUCUGUUGGGUCCCGAAAGAUGGUGAACUAUGCUUGAGAAGGGCAAACUCAGGGGAAACUCUGAUGGAGGCUCGUAGCGAUACUGACGUGCAAAUCGUUCGUCGGACUUGGGUAUAGGGGCGAAAGACUAAUCGAACCAUCUAGUAGCUGGUUCCCUCCGAAGUUUCCCUCAGGAUAGCUGGAGUUGCACACUUUCAUCAGGUAAAGCGAAUGAUUAGAGGCAUUGGGGACGUGUGGUCUUCGACCUAUUCUCAAACUUUAAAUGGGUAAGAUCCACUGGUUGCUUGGGUGAACCUCUGGGAUGAAUGACAGCUCUAAGUGGGCCACUUUUGGUAAGCAGAACUGGCGAUGAGGGAUGAACCUAACGUUGGGGGAAGGUGCUAAAUUGCCCGCUCAUCGGAUACCAUAAAGGGUGUUGGUUCAUUUUAACAGCAGGACGGUGGUCAUGGAAGUUGAAAUCCGCUAAGGAGUGUGUAACAACUCACCUGCCGAAUGGACUAGCCCCGAAAAUGGAUGGCGCUCAAGCAGGUGACCGAUAUCCAACCAUUGCUGUAAAAUGCUGCAUCAAUGAAUAGGAGGGCA
rnacentral:rRNA from 1 species